AAAAGGUCAUUGGAUGAAGCUGAGACAGAAGAUGGAAUCAAGAGCAGGAAGCCAAAGGGGAUAAAAUCUCUACAAGAAAAGCUGUAUGUUUCUAGAAUGUGUGAAUGUCAGCUUGCUGUACACCAAGAACAUCAUCAACUAUGUGAAUGUCAGUUUACUGUGCAUCAAGAACAUCGCGUGUCGACCUGCUGUAUGUCAUCACCAAGUAUGUCUACCCACGGACUGCCUUGCUACGAUUCUGCUCUGAUGUCUGAUUCUCUCCGGUGUCAGCAUCAUCUGAGCAGCUUGGUGUCUAGACAAUGUUUGGACCAAUUGCGAAAACAUGAAAAGGAACAACUACAUAUGAUUGAAAUAAAAGCAGCUUUGACAGAGCAAAGAAAACAUAUCGAGAGUCUUCAGAGAAAAAUACAUUGCCUGAAAGANGAGCUCAAAAACUCAGAGAUACAUGCUGCAUUGUAAGUACUGGAAACUAUCAAAAAUAUUUGGGUUGGGGUCCCUUUUGAAAAUAUUGGAAGUGAAUGUGAGAACUCUAGGGAGAAAAGGUAACUACAAAAGAUCUUGUCCUUGCUCCAUUUAACAGAAAG
rnacentral:lncRNA from 1 species